GACGGAGGAUGCAAGUGUUAUCCGGAAUCACUGGGCGUAAAGCGUCUGUAGGUGGUUUAAAAAGUCCACUGUUAAAAAUUGAAGCUUAACUUCAAAGAUGCCGUGGAAACUUUUAAACUUGAGUAUGAUAGGGGUAGAGGGAAUUUCCAGUGGAGCGGUGAAAUGCGUAGAUAUUGGAAAGACCACCAAUUGCGAAGGCAGCUCGCUGGGACGUUACUGACGCUGAGACGCGAAAGCGUGGGGAGCAAACAGG
rnacentral:rRNA from 1 species